rnacentral:rRNA from 1 species
UGGGGAAUAUUGGACGAUGGGGGGAAGCCUGAUCCAGCAAUGCCGCGUGUGUGAAGAAGGCCUGAGGGUUGUAAAGCACUUUCAGUGGGGAGGAGGAUACUUAGGUUAAGAGCUGGAGUAUUGGACGUUACCCACAGAAGAAGCACCGGCUAACUCCGUGCCAGCAGCCGCGGUAAUACGGAGGGUGCGAGCGUUAAUCGGAAUUACUGGGCGUAAAGGGUGCGUAGGUGGUUUAUUAAGUUAGCUGUGAAAUUCCUGGGCUUAACCUGGGCAGGUCAGCUAAGACUGGUAGACUCGAGUAUGGGAGAGGUAGUGGACUUUCCGGUGUAGCGGUGAAAUGCGUAGAGAUCGGAAGGAACACCAGUGGCGAAGGCGGCUACCUGGCCUAAUACUGAGCUGAGGCACGAAAGCGUGGGGAGAAACAGGAUUAGAUACCCUGGUAGUCCACGCUGUAACGAUGUCACUAGCUGUUGGGAUAUGAAUAUGAUUAGUGGCGAAGCUAACGCGAUAAGUUGACCGCCUGGGGAGUACGGUCGGAAGAUUA